rnacentral:rRNA from 1 species
UUAUAAAAAAAGAGUUAAUUAAUAAAAAAUUAAAUGAAAUCAUUAAAUUUAAAUAAUUUGGCGGUAUUUUAAAUAGUUAGAGGAAUUUGUUGAGUAAAUGAUAGUCCACGAAUGGAAUGUCCUAUUAGAAUUUUUAUGUAUUGUUGUAAAAAAAUUAUUUUUUAAGAAUUAUAAUUGUAAGAUUAGAUUUAAUUUGAAUUCAAAUCAAAAUGUAGGAUUAAUAGGUUUAGAUGAAUUACAUUUUAAUUUAAUAAUAGAUUUAUUUUUUUGAGUAAAAUAAUGAAAAAGGAUUUAAAAGUAAAUUUAAAUAAAUAUUUAUGUUGAAAUAAUAAUUAAAAUAUG